UGAAGGUUGGUGAUAUGUACACGAAUGAAUUUGGAUCAUUAAAUGGAGUCAACAAAACUCUACCUUCAU
rnacentral:tRNA from 1 species